rnacentral:rRNA from 1 species
AGUAAACGCUGGCGGUAGGCCUAACCCAUGCAAGUCGAACGACAGCACAGUAAGAGCUUGCUCUUACGUUUGGCGCGUGGCGGACGGGUGCGGAAUACAUCGCAAUCUACUUUUUCGUGGGGGAUAACGUAGGGAAACUUACGCUAAUACCGCAUACGACCUACGGGUGAAAGCAUGGGAUCUUCGGACCUUGCGCGAUUGAAUGAGCCGAUGUCGGAUUAGCUAGUUGGCGGGGUAAAGGCCUACCAAGGCGACGAUCCGUAGCUGGUCUGAGAGGAUGAUCAGCCACACUGGAACUGAGACACGGUCCAGACUCCUACGGGAGGCAGCAGUGGGGAAUAUUGGACAAUGGGCGCAAGCCUGAUCCAGCCAUACCGCGUGGGUGAAGAAGGCCUUCGGGUUGUAAAGCCCUUUUGUUGGGAAAGAAAAGCAGCAGGUUAAUACCCCGAUGUUCUGACGGUACCCAAAGAAUAAGCACCGGCUAACUACGUG